rnacentral:rRNA from 1 species
GUAGGGAAUCUUGCGCAAUGGGCGAAAGCCUGACGCAGCCAUGCCGCGUGAAUGAUGAAGGUCUUAGGAUUGUAAAAUUCUUUCACCGGGGACGAUAAUGACGGUACCCGGAGAAGAAGCCCCGGCUAACUUCGUGCCAGCAGCCGCGGUAAUACGAAGGGGGCUAGCGUUGCUCGGAAUUACUGGGCGUAAAGGGCGCGUAGGCGGACAGCUUAGUCAGAGGUGAAAGCCCAGGGCUCAACCUUGGAAUUGCCUUUGAUACUGGCUGUCUUGAGUUUGGGAGAGGUGAGUGGAACUCCGAGUGUAGAGGUGAAAUUCGUAGAUAUUCGGAAGAACACCAGUGGCGAAGGCGACUCACUGGCCCAAUACUGACGCUGAGGCGCGAAAGCGUGGGGAGCAAACAGGAUUAGAUACCCUGGUAGUCC